UUUUGGGUCUGACCUAGGUAGUGCGGUCGUGCGUACAGCCGCGUGCCUUUGGGAUUUGCGGGUUUGGGGGCGAUAUAUAGGGGGGAGCAGAGGGGAGGAGUGAGGAGAUCGGCGGCGGCGGCGGCAGCGGGCGCUUCUUCGGGGACGGUGGCCUCUAGAGGGCUGGAGAGGGGAGCGGCGGGCGGGCCUCUAGAGGGCCGGAGAGGGAGGCGGUAGUACCCAUUCUGUGCACCAUACCCUCGGCCCGCGUUCGAGUUCUGGGUGGCGUCCUUGGUCUCCACCCGACUGUUCCGUAUGUUCUUCUCGGUGAACCCGUUACUCACCUUCUUUGGGAAGCGACCUAGCAGAGUGCGGUUCCCGUAACAAAACCUCUUCUAGCCAUAACUCCGGUUCGUCGGAUUGAGACGGUAGGCAUUCACACGAGCACAGGUCGACCACUUCUUGCCCUUCUUCUAGCGACGGAAACACGGGUUACUACCAACGGACUUGAAGUAGCUCCUUUUGCUGCUCCACGACUAACGACCUAAGCCAGCAUUCCCAGUACGACACCCUCUAUAAGGACCACAGUCCAAGUUCCAACAGUUCCAUAGACCACACAGCGACGAGCGAGAGAAGUUCCUCUUCUUUCUCUUCGGGUCUAGAAUCUAACGUCAAAACUAUCCGUUCCUACCUUACCUGACAUUCCGAGACCAGCAAACCCCUCCUUUCAACGGACGAUACAAAUGUUUCAGGAUAUAUUGGACUUCAACAUGAUCGCUCUAAACAAGGAAGAGACGACGACGAAAGAGAAUUGUCAACGAUAAUUCUCAUAACAAAGGUACUAGACCUAUAUAUAAUAACGAACAAUGGGACGACCGAUCAACCUACAAACAAAUCUUUGGAAGAGUAUUAAAACGUCAUCAUACCAUGACUUUUCUUUAGACAUGGUUAGCAGCACACCUAACCUUACCUAUAAACCUAAUCUAUCACCUC
rnacentral:rRNA from 1 species